GACGAACGCUGGCGGCGUGCCUAACACAUGCAAGUCGAACGAGAAAGUGGAGCAAUCCAUGAGUAAAGUGGCGACCGGGUGAGUAACACGUGACUAACCUACCUUCGAGUGGGGAUAACCUCGGGAAACCGGGGCGUAAUACCGCAUAACAUCUUUGAAGUGGAAAUUUACGGUAGAUCAAAGGAAGCAAUUCGCUGGAAGAGGGGGUCGGCGGCUGAUUAGCUAGUUGGCGGGGUAACGGGCCCACCAAGGCUUAGAUCGGUAGCCGGCCUGAGAGGGCGACCGGCCACACUGGGACUGAGACACGGCCCAGACUCCUACGGGAGGGCAGCAGUGGGGAAGUCUUGCGCAAUGGGCGAAAGCCUGACGCAGCGACGCCGCGUGAGGGAUGAC
rnacentral:rRNA from 1 species